UCUGAGGAUCUUCAGUUUCUUAAUCGCGUGCACAGUGGGAGAGCCCCUCGGUCAACAUGAGGAUGGACAAGAGAACAUUAAGGCUUUGGUGUGUUUGUUGUUGUGUUUGUUAAAAGAGAAUGAGAUGUGAAGUCUGAAGCAUUCCUCAGCUUCUUGGCACAAACUCCGGUUUGUUUGUUGUCCAUUUGGAUGGUGGCUUUAGCAGAAGAGGUCAUGCAAAAUGGAAGAGUGUGUUUGGCAUGCACUGUUAAAAUGCCAGAAACUACUUUUAACUGACAAAACAUUUAACUGUUGGCCAAAGCCACAGGAAAUGACGGCGGGAUGGCAGGAACCUGGAGUACAUUGUGUCUCUUUCUUUCCAAGACUACAGGGAGAGAACAUCUGUGCUGGAUGGAUGUGAAAAACACCACCAGGAGAACUACAAAGAGACGAGUCAGCAAGCAGAGUUUCAGAAAAGGAUCUGCUGGGGGAGCAACUCCCAUUUACUGAGGGGGAGAGAGAAAGUGUGUGUGU